UACGGAGGGGGCUAGCGUUAUUCGGAAUUAUUGGGCGUAAAGGGCGUGUAGGCGGCUCUGUGUGUCCCAUGUGAAAGCCCCUCGGCUCAACCGGGGAACUGCAUGGGAAACUGCGGAGCUUGAGUCCGGGAGAGGUGAGUGGAAUUCCCAGUGUAGCGGUGAAAUGCGUAGAUAUUGGGAGGAACACCAGUGGCGAAGGCGGCUCACUGGACCGGUAGUGACGCUGAGACGCGAAAGCCAGGGGAGCAAAGCGGG
rnacentral:rRNA from 1 species